rnacentral:rRNA from 1 species
GACGAACGCUGGCGGCGUGCUUAACACAUGCAAGUGGAGCGACGAACCAGGCUUCGGCCUGGGGCAGAGCCGCGAACGGGUGAGUAACACGUGGGUAACGUGCCUCGAUGACCGGGACAACCCGAGGAAACUCGGGCUAAUACCGGAUGUGCUCACACCACAUCAGUGGUGUCAGUAAAGGUAACUUCGGCCUCCGCAUCGAGAUCGGCCCGCGGCGCAUUAGCUUGUUGGUGGGGAACGGCCUACCAAGGCAACGAUGCGUAGCUGGUCUGAGAGGACGAUCAGCCACACUGGGACUGAGACACGGCCCAGACUCCUACGGGAGGCAGCAGUGGGGAAUCUUGCGCAAUGCGCGAAAGCGUGACGCAGCAACGCCGC